AUUGAACGCUGGCGGCAUGCUUUACACAUGCAAGUCGAACGGCAGCGCGGGCUUCGGCCUGGCGGCGAGUGGCGAACGGGUGAGUAAUGCAUCGGAACGUGCCCAGUAGUGGGGGAUAGCCCGGCGAAAGCCGGAUUAAUACCGCAUACGACCUGAGGGUGAAAGCGGGGGACCGAAAGGCCUCGCGCUAUUGGAGCGGCCGAUGUCGGAUUAGCUAGUUGGUGGGGGAAAGGCUUACCAAGGCGACGAUCCGUAGCAGGUCUGAGAGGACGACCAGCCACACUGAGACUAAGACACGGCCCAGACUCCUACGGGAGGCAGCAGUGGGGAAUUUUGGACAAUGGGGGCAACCCUGAUCCAGCCAUGCCGCGUGCGGGAAGAAGGCCUUCGGGUUUUAAACCGCUUUUGUUCGGGAAGAAAUCCUCUGGGCUAAUACCCCGGGGGGAUGACGGUACCGGAAGAAUAAGCACCGGCUAACUACGUG
rnacentral:rRNA from 1 species